GUACCGUUGGUAGUGUGUAUAUUAAAAUUGGAAUGUUACAGAGAAGAUUAGCAUGGCCCUCGUGCAAGGAUGACAUACAAAUUUGUGAGAGUUCUGUUUUUUUA
rnacentral:snRNA from 1 species